rfam:Oryza sativa Japonica Group DNA, chromosome 3, cultivar: Nipponbare, complete sequence.
UGGGUUUGCCUUAAGUCAAACUUCUUUAAGUUUGACCAAGUCUAUAGAAAAACAUAGCAACAUUUUCAACACAAAGCAAAUGUACUUUAAAAUAUAUUUAAUGGUGGAUAUGAUGAACUAAUUUGGUGUUCCAGAUGUUGAUUUUUUUUUCUAUAAAGUUGGUCGAAAUCUAAGAAAUUUGACUUAGGACAAAUCCAA